GAUGAACGCUGGCGGCGUGCCUAAUACAUGCAAGUCGAGCGAAUGGAUUAAGAGCUUGCUCUUAUGAAGUUAGCGGCGGACGGGUGAGUAACACGUGGGUAACCUGCCCAUAAGACUGGGGUAACUCCGGGAAACCGGGGCUAAUACCGGAUAACAUUUUGAACCGCAUGGUUCGAAAUUGAAAGGCGGCUUCGGCUGUCACUUAUGGAUGGACCCGCGUCGCAUUAGCUAGUUGGUGAGGUAACGGCUCACCAAGGCAACGAUGCGUAGCCCGCCUGAGAGGGUGAUCGGCCACACUGGGGCUGGGACACGGCCCAGACUCCUACGGGAGGCAGCAGUAGGGAAUCUUCCGCAAUGGACGAAAGUCUGACGGAGCAACGCCGCGUGAGUGAUGAAGGCUUUCGGGUCGUAAAACUCUGUUGUUAGGGAAGAACAAGUGCUAGUUGAAUAAGCUGGCACCUUGACGGUACCUAACCAGAAAGCCACGGCUAACUACGUGCCAGCAGCCGCGGUAA
rnacentral:rRNA from 1 species